GCAGGGCGCGACUAGCGCGGGGGGCGGCCGACGUGUAGUGCCAGCGACGGCCAUGGCUAACGGGGAUGAUUCAUCGUCAAGUUCAUCUGGAACCAUGACGGCUGCAGCGGUACCAUGUCCAUUUGGGUCAUGAUGUGUACCGACUUCCGAAUGGUGUAGUCAACAAAUUCCUGCUAAUCCAAAAACAUUGACAUUGGUCGACGAUGUAUUCGAUAGCGGGUUCUUGACAGGGAAAUCCACACCAGAGGUGGGUUAAAACUGAAAAAAAUAUACUAAGCACAAAAACGGAAUCGUGACAACGAGGGGAAUCCAUUUUUGCAAAGAGGGAUCAGAUUUAUACCUCCGUGCGAUCGACGAGAGCCUGCUUGAUCCAGGCUUGACGCAUGCUCGAUGGAGAGUUGGUGGAGCGAAGCGUGCUGAUAACGUGUUCCGCAACUCCUGCCGACGAGUCCGGUCCAAUGUUGCGGAGCGGAGCUAGCGUCGUAGAUGAAGUAGUCGAACACACAAAGUCACAGCACACGAGGAAGUAGAGAGGGAACAAAGCUUUAUUAAUCAAUGAAAUCUCUGUUACAAUGAUUGCCUCUUCUCUUUUUAUAUAGGGGUAUGAGGAUGAGGGGAUAACUAUCUACUUAAGGUAAAGAGGGAAAACAAUAAACGCUGGCUUCGUGCCACGCACGGAAGCCAGGCUCGCUAGCCCAACAGAGCCUUCGGCCCGUCGGUUUCCCAACACGAUCAAUAGGGCGAUCCGUGAUGUCCUGGC
rnacentral:lncRNA from 1 species